rnacentral:rRNA from 1 species
CCUAGUANUUCNCCUUGAGUUUGUAUGGCUCAGAUUGACGCUGGCGGAUGCCUUACCAUGCUAGUCGAGCGGCAGCGCGGGGGCAACCCUGGCGGCGAGCGGCGGACGGGUGAGUAGUGCAUCGGAACGUGUCCUCUUGUGGGGGAUAACCAGUCGAAAGACUGGCUAAUACCGCAUGAGCUCGUAAGAGGAAAGCAGGGGACCCGCAAGGGCCUUGCGCGAGAGGAGCGGCCGAUGCCCGAUUAGCUAGUUGGUGGGGUAAUGGCCCACCAAGGCGACGAUCGGUAGCUGGUCUGAGAGGACGACCAGCCACACUGGGACUGAGACACGGCCCAGACUCCUACGGGAGGCAGCAGUGGGGAAUUUUGGACAAUGGGGGAAACCCUGAUCCAGCCAUGCCGCGUGUGUGAAGAAGGCCUUCGGGUUGUAAAGCACUUUCGGACGGAACGAAAUCGCGCGGGUGAACAAUCCGCGCGGAUGACGGUACCGUAAGAAGAAGCACCGGCUAACUACGUGCCAGCAGCCGCGGUAAUACGUAGGGUGCGAGCGUUAAUCGGAAUUACUGGGCGUAAAGUGUGCGCAGGCGGCCGCGCAAGUCGAGUGUGAAAGCCCCGAGCUUAACUUGGGAUUGCGCUCGAAACUACUGGCUGGAGUGUGGCAACGACGUGGAAUCCCGUGUAGCGUGAAUGCGUAAGAUGUGAGACACGAGGCGAGGCGCUUCUGGCACACUGACCCUGCAGAAGCUGGACAACAGAUAAACCUGCAUCACC